ACUCCCGUUGAUCCUGCGGGAGGCCACCGCUAUCUCCGUCCGGCUAACCCAUGGAAGGCGAGGGUCCCCGGGUAAGGGGGCCCGCCGCACGGCUGAGUAACACGUCGGUAACCUACCCUCGGGACGGGGAUAACCCCGGGAAACUGGGGCUAAUCCCCGAUAGGGGAUGGGUGCUGGAAGGCCCCAUCCCCGAGAGGGGCUAGCGGUACUUCCCCCGCUAGCCCGCCCGAGGAUGGGCCGGCGGCCCAUCAGGUAGUUGGCGGGGUAAUGGCCCGCCAAGCCGAAGACGGGUAGGGGCCGUGAGAGCGGGAGCCCCCAGAUCGGCACUGAGACAAGGGCCGAGGCCCUACGGGGCGCACCAGGGGCGAAACCUCCGCAAUGCGGGAAACCGUGACGGGGGGACGGAGAGUGCCGGAGGGCGUUAUGCUCUCCGGCUUUUGGGGAGUGUAAGUAGCUCCCCGAAUAAGCGGUGGGCAAGAGGGGUGGCAGCCGCCGCGGGAACACCCCCACCGCGAGCGGUGGCCGUGAUUAUUGGGCCUAAAGGGGCCGUAGCCGGGCCGGUGUGGCUCCGGUGAAAUCCUCGGGCUCAACCCGAGGGCGCGCCGGAGCUACUACCGGCCUAGGGACCGGGAGGGGCCGACCGUACUCCCGGGGGAGCGGUGAAAUGCUGUAAUCCCGGGAGGACGACCCGUGGCGAAAGCGGUCGGCCAGAACGGGUCCGACGGUGAGGGCCGAAGGCCGGGGGCUAGAACGGGAUUAGAGACCCCGGUAUUCCCGGCUGUCAACGCUGCGGGCUACCUGCUGGGCGGGCUACGAGCCCGCCCAGUGGGGUAGGGAAGCCGUUAAGCCCGCCGCCUGGGGAGUACGGCCGCAAGGCUGAAACUUAAAGGAAUAGGCGGGGGAGCACACAAGAGGUGGGGUGCGCGGUUUAAUUGGAUUCGACGCCGGGAACCUCACCGGGGCUGACAGCACAAUGAUGGUCGGCCUGAAGGGCCUACCGGAGGCGCUGAGAGGAGGUGCAUGGCCGCCGUCAGCCUGUGCCGUGAGGUGCCCUGUUAAGUCAGGAAACAGGCGAGACCCGCGCCCGCAGUUGCGACGGCCGAAAGGCCGGCACACUGCGGGGACUGCCGGGGAAACCCGGAGGAAGGUGCGGGCGACGGCAGGUAUGCAUGCCCCGAAUGCCCCGGGCUACACGCGCGCAUCAAUGGGCGGGACAGGGGGCCGCGACCCCGAAAGGGGGAGCAAAUCCCCAAACCCGCUCUCAGUCCAGAUCGAGGGCUGCAACUCGCCCUCGUGACGGCGGAAUCUCUAGUAGUCGGACGUCACCAGCGUCCGGCGAAUACGUCCCUGCUCCUUGCACUCACCGCCCGUCAAGCCACCCGAGCUGGGGCCUAGCGAGGCCGUGGGGGGUUCGCCCCCCACGGUCGAGCUAGGCCCCGGCGAGGGGGGCUAAGUCGACACAAGGUAGCCGUAGGGGAACCUGCGGCUGGAUCACCUCCUN
rnacentral:rRNA from 15 species